UCUCCUGGAAAACGGGUGGUAAUGCCGGAUGCUCCAGUUGAUCGCAUGGUCUUCUGGGAAAGCUUUCGCGGUAUGGGAUGGGGUCGCGUCCUAUCAGCUUGACGGCGGGGUAACGGCCCACCGUGGCUUCGACGGGUAGCCGGCCUGAGAGGGCGACCGGCCACAUUGGGACUGAGAUACGGCCCAGACUCCUACGGGAGGCAGCAGUGGGGAAUAUUGCACAAUGGGCGCAAGCCUGAUGCAGCGACGCCGCGUGAGGGAUGGAGGCCUUCGGGUUGUAAACCUCUUUUAUCGGGGAGCAAGCGUGAGUGAGUUUACCCGUUGAAUAAGCACCGGCUAACUACGUGCCAGCAGCCGCGGUAAUACGUAGGGUGCAAGCGUUAUCCGGAAUUAUUGGGCGUAAAGGGCUCGUAGGCGGUUCGUCGCGUCCGGUGUGAAAGUCCAUCGCUUAACGGUGGAUCCGCGCCGGGUACGGGCGGGCUUGAGUGCGGUAGGGGAGACUGGAAUUCCCGGUGUAACGGUGGAAUGUGUAGAUAUCGGGAAGAACACC
rnacentral:rRNA from 1 species